GUUGAUUCUGCCAGUAGUCAUAUGCUUGUUUCAAGGACUUAGCCAUGCAUGCCUCAGAAUCACUGCAUCAGCAGGAAUCUGCGCAUGGCUCAUUACAUCAGACGUAAUCUGCCGCAAAAGCUUUGCGGACUCCGCAAGAUUGGAUACCUUGGCGAAAAGCCAAGCUAAUACAUGAACCAAAGGGACGUACUCUGUUAUUCGCGGCUUUGUAAAAGGAGGUUCACCCCUUCGUUUGCACUGUCGUUAUGGGUCGUCCAGCGAAUGAACGAAAUUAAAACCAAUGCCCCUUUACCGGGCAGUAACACUCAGACGUGUUGAAUCAGUUCAUUCCGUGCGAAAGCUGGGCUUUAGCCUGGCGUCUUCUGACGAACAACUGCCCUAUCAGCUGGUGAUGGCCGUGUAGUGGACUGCCAUGGCGUUGACGGGAGCGGGGGAUUAGGGUUCGAUUCCGGAGAGGGAGCCUGAGAAAUAGCUACCACUUCUACGGAGGGCAGCAGGCGCGCAAAUUGCCCAAUGUCAAAAAAAAACGAUGAGGCAGCGAAAAGAAAUAGAGCCGGCAGUGCCACUGGCAUUGCCGUUUUCAAUGGGGGAUAUUUAAACCCAUCCAAAAUCGAGUAUCAAUUGGAGGACAAGUCUGGUGCCAGCACCCGCGGUAAUUCCAGCUCCAAAAGCGUAUAUUAAUGCUGUUGCUGUUAAAGGGUUCGUAGUUGAAUUGGGG
rnacentral:rRNA from 1 species